rnacentral:rRNA from 1 species
UACAGAGGUCCCGAGCGUUGUUCGGAUUUAUUGGGCGUAAAGGGUGCGUAGGCGGCGGAGUAAGUUGGGUGUGAAAUCCCGGGGGCUCAACCUCGGAAUGGCAUUCAAUACUGCUUCGCUAGAGUACUGGAGAGGAGGCUGGAAUUUACGGUGUAGCAGUGAAAUGCGUAGAUAUCGUAAGGAAGGCCGGUGGCGAAAGCGAGCCUCUGGACAGUUACUGACGCUGAUGCACGAAGGUCAGGGGAGCAAACAGG